ACCAAAGAAAAAGUUACCUGCUCUCUCUCCUAAAUCCCUAUGUAUAUUUAAACAAAUUGAGGUAAAUAUACAUAGGGAUUUAGGAGAGAGUGCAGGUAAUUUUUUCUUUGGU